AUCCGCGUCGACUCGUACUAUUUGCGCUUAUCGCUGCAAUGUUGUUGUCCGUCACAAUGUUUGCGUCUCCCAAUCGGGUUAUGUAAGCUAAGCACAACAUAGCCAGCGUUAGCAGCUGUCGUUGACGAUUCGGUGAGUUCCGAGUAUAAUAAUCCAUCAAAUCGAGCUCAGUUCACGUAUGUACGCGUGGGAUUAUCGCGAGACAAUUUAUCCCGGGGCAAUGCUGCUUCAGUAGGAAAAGACAGCGAACAAUCCCAAUUCCGAAAUGGGACGUCUUCUAGCCGGCUAGCUGCUAACUCAAACCAAUGCUAAUCGGGUCUUUCCAGCCGUCGCACAGGCGUAGCUAAUUGCAGAUACGUUAUUGGAGAGUGCACGUUUGGGUGACUUACUUUGGUCUAUUCGUUCGUGUUUCUACAUAAACGAAGCGAAGGCAGGUCUCCUUUUUUUUUUUUUGCAGCAAGCGUGGACAAUGGAAACCACAGAAGUGACGUCGCAAUAGCAGCUGGAUAGAGUUGCCAUAGGGACCGACACAGCGGAGUUCUCAUUCACACAUUCGGAGACACUGAGUUAAGAACGAUGCACAAUGGGGCAACAAUAUCUGGUUAUCACAUGGCUUCGAAAAGGCAGCAGGUACUGCUGACUUCUUCGAUGGCGACAUUUUACAUUCUUAAGGUCUCAGGAGUGGACUCAUCAGAGAAAGGACUGAAUAUCCUGGAAAGUGCCUCUGGCUUGGUGAUCAGGGAACCUGAAACGGGUCAGAAACAGGGCCCAACGUGCCUGUUGGUAAUUCGGUCUCCGGGCAGACUGAAUCUAGAUGAGGACUGAGGUGACGCAAGAAGAAAGCGCAGGGAUGGAGCUUUUGGUCAACUGAAAACCACUGGGACAGAACCGCCCCGAGUCUUGAAUCAGAAAAGUCGACCUCAACAACAAAAGGCAAAUUGGGGUUAGGAUGUGUAAGCACCGUUGAACUAGUAAAUACUGUAACUUUUUCAGGAUAGCAAAUGCUGAUUCAGCUUCUGGCAUUCAUUCAAAUGGUGAAACAUACUGUGGGCAAAAAAAAAUGGCCUUAUGUCGCAGAAACAACACUGUGAUCCAAAUUAUGAGACAUAUAAUGUUUUGUUCAUUUUUGUACAUUUAACAAAGCCACCAAGAUGACAAGUUUUUUUUUCCAAAAUUGCUCAAAAUAGUAUUACAACUGAAUACUGUAUGCACAACAGUUUAAAAAAAAAAAAUAGGUUGCACAACCCCAAUUCCAAUGAAGUUGGGACAUUGUGUUAAACAUAAAUAAAAACAGAAUACAAUGAUUUGCAAAUCCUGUUCAACCGAUAUUUAAUUGAAUACACUACAAAGACAAGAUAUUUCAUGUUCAAACUGAUCAACUUUAUUGUUUUUAGCAAAUAAUCAUUAACUUAGAAUUUUAUGGCUGCAACAUGUUCCAAAAGAGCUGGGACAGGGUCAUGUUUACCACUGUGUUACAUCACCUUUUCUUUUACCAACAUUCAAUAAACCUUUGGGAACUGAGGACAAUAAUUGUUGAAGCUUUGUAGGUGGAAUUAUUUCCCAUUCUUGCUUGAUUUACAACUUCAGCUAUUCAACAGUCCGGGGUCUCCGUAUUUUACGCUUCAUAAUGCGCCACACAUUUUCAAUUGACUGCAGACAGGCCAGUCUAGUACCCGCACUCUUUUACUCUGAAGUCACGCUGUUGUAACACGUGCAGAAUGUGGUUUGGCAUUGUCUUGCUGAAAUAAGCAGGGGCUUCCAUGAAAAAGACGUUGCUUGGAUGGCAGCAUAUGUUUCUCCUAAACCUGUAUGUACCUUUCAGCAUUAAUGGUGCCUUCACAGAUGUGUAAGUUACCCAUGCCAUUGGCACUAACACAGCCCCAUACCAUCACAGAUGCUGGCUUUUGAACUUUGCGUCCAUAGCAGUCCGGAUGGUUCUCUUUGGACACGACGGCCACAAUUUCCCAAAACAAUUUGAAAUGUGGACUCGUCGGACCACAGAACACUUGUCCACUUUGCAUCAGUCCAUCUUAGAUGAACUCGGGCCCAGAGUUAAAUAUGAGUGUCACAGCAAAGUGUCUGAAUACUUAUGGCUCUGUGAUAUUUAAGCUCAUCUUUUUCAAUCAAUCUGCAAAAAAAUUCAACAAUAAAAAUUUUUUCUGUCAAUAUGUGUGUACAUUAAUGAGGAAAAUAAAUUACUUAAAUGAUUUUAGCAACUGGCUGCAAUAUAACAGAGUGCAAAAAUGAAGGGGGUUUGAAUACUCUCCGUCCCCACUGUAUGACAAAAAGUGUGCAAAUUCCAGCUUUAAUACACCUUUUACUAAUCUCUGAAUCAUACAAAACAUUGCUAGUUUGAUUUUCUUGAAAUGUAAUUUGCUUUUAUAAUUCUAUUUUUCAUCAGCAAAAAGAUCAUUCUUUUUCCCCAUGAAAACUGUGACUUGCUUAAGUGAUAUUUCCUUACCUAGACUUCGCUGUAAAACAAAUU